GCCGUAUAGGGGAGCCGCAGGGAAACCGAGUCUUAACUGGGCGUUAAGUUGCAGGGUAUAGACCCGAAACCCGGUGAUCUAGCCAUGGGCAGGUUGAAGGUUGGGUAACACUAACUGGAGGACCGAACCGACUAAUGUUGAAAAAUUAGCGGAUGACUUGUGGCUGGGGGUGAAAGGCCAAUCAAACCGGGAGAUAGCUGGUUCUCCCCGAAAGCUAUUUAGGUAGCGCCUCGUGAACUCAUCUUCGGGGGUAGAGCACUGUUUCGGCUAGGGGGUCAUCCCGACUUACCAACCCGAUGCAAACUACGAA
rnacentral:rRNA from 1 species